rnacentral:tRNA from 1 species
UGGGUGAUAGCUCAGGUGGUAGAGCGAUGGUUUGAAGGUCCAUGCGUCGGUGGUUCGAAUCCACCUCAUCCAACUA